rnacentral:rRNA from 1 species
GAUGAACGCUGGCGGCGUGCCUAAUACAUGCAAGUCGAACGCGCAGCGAAAGGUGCUUGCACCUUUCAAGCGAGUGGCGAACGGGUGAGUAACACGUGGAUAACCUGCCUCAAGGCUGGGGAUAACAUUUGGAAACCGAUGCUAAUACCGAAUAAAACUUAGUAUCGCAUGCUACAAAGUUAAAAGGCGCUACUGCGUCACCUAGAGAUGGAUCCGCGGUGCAUUAGUCAGUUGGUGGGGUAAAGGCUUACCAAGACGAUGAUGCAUAGCCGAGUUGAGAGACAGAGCGGCCACAUUGGGACUGAGACACGGCCCAAACUCCUACGGGAGGCUGCAGUAGGGAAUCUUCCACAACGGGCGCAAGCCUGAUGGAGCAACGCCGCGUGUGUGAUGAAGGCUUUCGGGUCGUAAAGCACUGUUGUAUGGGAAGAAAUGAUAAAAUAGGGAAUGAUUUUAGUUUGACGGUACCGUACCAGAAAGGGACGGCUAAAUACGUGCCAGCCGCCGCGGUAA